rnacentral:lncRNA from 1 species
AGGACAGGCUCAAGACAGUUUAGGUAACUUGAGGGAAGCAGAGAGAGUGAGUUAAUUUUUAGUAUGGCUAAGAGGUGGGAAUGGGAAGAUUUCAUGCCUGUGCAAAUGGGUCUGAGCUUCAGUGAUAUGAAUGUUCUGCUAGUACCAUGGAAGCAGGAUGGUAGAAAGCAAUCUUCAGCCUGAGACCCAUUCCUAGGUAAGUAGCUGAAUUGAGUUUUUUUUCUUGGUUAAAGUAUAACAAUCAACUGGUCUUAAUUUCUCCUUACCAUUAGAGCACUCAGUGAUCAUAUGGCUGGGUUUUUGUUAUUGUUUUUGUUGUUUGUUCCAGUCUUUUCCCCAUCAGAUUUGACCAACUCUACCUGACUUGGUCAAAUCU